AGGUAGUGCAUGGUGUUCGGUGCCAACCUGACCCGAAUUACAUAGCCUGCAGACUCUAUCUUCAAAUGGGGUUCCGUCGUAUCGGCCUGUCUCGACUGGAAACCAGUGGUUAGCAGUCCUGAAUUGGAAUAGGGAAGGUGCUGGUGGAUGCUUGAUGGAAGAUUGAUUGCAGCUCAUCAGUUAUGUGCUCUAUGGUCUGCUGCGAUUUGGGGUUGGAUGAGGGUUCUGUCCCCCCACUGGCCUAAUGGCUAUGGUUGCUGUCUGCUGUGGUCCUACUAUGGUUAUUGGACUGUGGAGUGUCCCUAGAGGGCACACGGUUAUCAGUACGCGCAGAAUCCCAGGGGCGUUGGAUGCUGGGCACAGAUGACUGGGUGUUCAGUGGAGUUCUGGGAGAUACUGGAGGAUGAUUACGAGCAUGAGCUUUUGAAGAAUUAGGAGAAGCAGACUGCGAGCGUCUUGAUACGUGUUCAGAAUUGGGAGUUAGAGUAUUGGGAGUGAUGACCAUGGUUGUUUUCCUCUGGUUAGCAGAGGUUGUGAUAGGCUCUGGCGGGAUAUUGUUCCUGGCGCUUUGGGGAGGAGGGACACUGUGUGCCUGAUUCGACCGUGGUACUUCGGGGAACGUGGCAGUUGGAGUAAUGGGAGUGGCGACCGCAGUUGUGUUCCUCCGGUUGCCAGAGGUUGUGAUAGAAGCUGGCGGGAUAUUGUUCCAGGUGCUUUGGCGAGAACGGAAACUGUGUGCCUGACUCGUCCCGAAGACUUCGGAGAUUGUGCGAACUCUGUUACCGUUUAGAAUUGAGUUCCAAUAUAAAUAGGGCGUAACUGAUAUGCAAACAUAAGCCGUUGUCGUCUACAAUUAUAACGAGUGUCACACUUUACCUUUAAUUGGUACU